rnacentral:rRNA from 1 species
AGUGAACGCUGGCGGUAGGCCUAACACAUGCAAGUCGAACGGCAGCACAGUAAGAGCUUGCUCUUACGGGUGGCGAGUGGCGGACGGGUGAGGAAUACAUCGGAAUCUACUUUUUCGUGGGGGAUAACGUAGGGAAACUUACGCUAAUACCGCAUACGACCUACGGGUGAAAGCAGGGGAUCUUCGGACCUUGCGCGAUUGAAUGAGCCGAUGUCGGAUUAGCUAGUUGGCGGGGUAAAGGCCCACCAAGGCGACGAUCCGUAGCUGGUCUGAGAGGAUGAUCAGCCACACUGGAAAUGAGACACGGUCCAGACUCCUACGGGAGGCAGCAGUGGGGAAUAUUGGACAAGGGGCGCAAGCCUGAUCCAGCCAUACCGCGUGGGUGAAGAAGGCCUUCGGGUUGUAAAGCCCUUUUGUUGGGAAAGAAAAGCAGCAGGUUAAUACCCCGCUGUUCUGACGGUACCCAAAGAAUAAGCACCGGCUAACUUCGU